UGGAAAGAAAGAAAUUCUAAGCAAUCAGCCCAGGAGUUAAAGUCACUGUUUGAAAAAAAAUCUCUCAAAGAGAAGCCUCCAAUUUCUGGGAAGCAGUCAAUAUUAUCUGUACGCCUAGAACAGUGCCCUCUGCAGCUGAAUAACCCUUUUAACGAGUAUUCCAAAUUUGAUGGCAAGGGUCAUGUGGGUACAACAGCAACCAAGAAGAUCGAUGUCUACCUCCCUCUGCACUCGAGCCAGGACAGACUGCUGCCAAUGACUGUGGUGACAAUGGCCAGCGCCAGGGUGCAGGACCUGAUCGGGCUCAUCUGCUGGCAGUAUACAAGUGAAGGACGGGAGCCGAAGCUCAAGAGAGAAAUGAGGAUCAGGAAGUUAUCUAGCUUCCUGAGGUUUUUUUGGACCUCACUUUCCUGAGGGGUUUUGGAGAAAAGGAAAUCUUGAUCACCUUAAAAGCCUUUUCUCUGAUUUCAGAGAGAUCAGCUUCUGAGCUGCAAUCCUCAUGACCUUUUUUCCCUUGCUAAUGCCCAAUACACUAUUAAUAUUGAUUCUCUCAUCAAAAUAAACACCAAAGCCCAAGUAAUGAGAGUUCUGGACAUUUAAAAAUCAUGUGCUCUUUUAUUUUUCAUGUAAAAAAAAAACCAAUAAGCAUUCAUCUAUCUGGUCAUCAUACUUAAGUGUGUUUUACAUUUUCCGAGGAUGAGUGAAUUUUUAUGAGUAUGUAA
rnacentral:sRNA from 1 species